GUUAACAGACUUGUUGUCAUGAUCUCCAAAUACGCUCAUUCAGAGCCAUAACAAUGAUUUCAUUGUGCUAAAUGAGAUGUAAAUGUUGAGAGUUCCUCAACAGAUGAUGAAGAGGAAGGGCCAAUGAUGUGAAGGCCCAGAUCCAUCAGAGUAUCAAUGUUCUUCCUCUCUCUCCUCCCCGCUCACUGCAGACAUGAAACACUGGCUGAGAAACAUCCUGAUUGUGACUCUCUGGCUAGAGUGUAAAGGAGAAGACAUAGUGAUCCAGCCAACAGGAGAUGUCAUUGCUACUGAAGGAGGCACAGUUACACUUGGCUGUACAUUUGACACCAGUUACCAAAGUAAUUAUCUCUUCUGGUACAAACAGGAUGGAGACAACAGCCCCAAAUUCAUACUGAGUCGAAUUAAACUGGACGAAGGGAACACACCAGACAAGUUUAAGGAGAGAUUUUCGUCCACACUGGAUUCCACCUUAAAAUCAGUUCCUCUGAAGAUCCAGAAGCUUCAGCUGUCUGACUCUGCUGUGUACUACUGUGCUCUGCAGCCCACAGUGACAGGAAACACCAAGACUCUGUACAAAAACCUUUGGAGAAAAGACAACAGAAUACUCCACAACAUCCACUAGAGGGA